rnacentral:rRNA from 1 species
CCUGCCUGCCCUGUGACUAUAUGUUCAACGGCCGCGGUAUUUUGACCGUGCAAAGGUAGCGCAAUCACUUGUCUUUUAAAUAGAGACCCGUAUGAAUGGCAAGACGAGGGCUAAACUGUCUCCUUUUCCCAGUCAGUGAAAUUGAUCUCCCCGUGCAGAAGCGGGGAUAUUCUCAUAAGACGAGAAGACCCUAUGGAGCUUUAGACACUAGAAAGCCCACGUAAAACAGCUUUUUAAGCGGAACUAGCGGUACCUUAUCUAAAUGUCUUCGGUUGGGGCGACCGCGGGGGAAAGAAGAGCCCCCAUGUGGACCGGGAGUAUUUCCUAAAUUUAAGAAUAACCCUUCUAAAAAACAGAAAUUCUGACCAAAUUGAUNNNNCAAAGCCGAUUAACGAAACCAGUUACCCUAGGGAUAACAGCGCAAUCCCCUCCCAGAGUCCAUAUCGACGAGGGGGUUUACGACCUCGAUGUUGGAUCAGGACAUCCUAAUGGUGCAGACGCUAUUAAGGG